UCAAGUGGCCAGAUGGACAGUGGAUGAGGUGGCUGAGUUUGUGCAGUCUCUUCUGGGCUGUGAAGAACACGCCAAGUGCUUCAAGAAGGAGCAGAUAGAUGGCAAAGCCUUCCUGCUUCUGACCCAGGCAGAUAUUGUCAAAGUGAUGAGAAUCAAGCUGGGCCCAGCACUGAAGAUCUACAACUCUAUCCUGAUGUUCAGGAACUCCCAGGAUGUCACUGAAGAUGCCUCUAGCCAAGAAGACAAGAGAUAAAUGUGUUUUUGGUCAUCCACUGAUACCAGGACUUGCACGUUUGAGGACAUGGUUGGCAGCCAUCCAUUUGAAUUUAAUGUCCCCAUUAGUGUACCAAUAUUUAAUCAGGACCCUUUAAAGAGUCUGGUUUAGGCAUAUGGUGGACUUUGAUAAAUGACCAAGUGCCAAUGACUUAGAUGCUUAGUUUGGUCCAGGUGUGGGUUUAGGUGGCAUCCUUACGGCUUGGUGUGCUUCAGUCAACAGAUUUACGAAGCCACUGUACGCAUCUCUACACUCCCCUCUAAAAGAAAACACUUCCCAUUCCGCAAGUGUGUCUCAAGUGGUAAAAUGCCAGAAAAUCAAUUCACUAGUGCAUUGUUAACACGUUCACCAGAACUACUGAGCACAGCUUGCAUCUGUUGUCUGGGUGCCUUGAGUGGAAGAGCUGGGGUGCUGGUGCUCUUGAGAAGACUCAUGAGAUUUCUGGACCCUUAACUCAGGAAAGUAUGAAUCUUUUUCAAAUGCUAACAAGCACAUUGUUUUCAUGCUCCACAAAUCCUCAUUUUUAUUCCUUACCAUGCCUUGGUUGCAGUUCCAAGGUACCCUGGAGCCUACUGCAAGGAGUGUGCCUAGAAGUAACAGAGGAGUGAGUGUUUGGAGGCCAUCCCAGGAACCUGCUGGGACACUCCUGAUGACCCACAGUCAGGGCACUUGUUCUAACAGUGGCAUUGGUCAAAGACCUACCUGCCUGAAAUUCCUCCAGCUCCCACCCUGACGAACCUUCAAAUGGACUCUCCCCUUAUCUAUUGAUUUUUUUUUUUUUUAAGCAAUCAGGUCUGGUUUCACCUCUACAGAGGCAUGGCAGCAGGACAGAAGACCUCCAGAGAGCAGCUCAGGAUCUGUUGAGUGUGUCUGACAUUCAAGUUGUGGGAAGGCCACUUCAGAGUUGCAAAUGAUUAGAACUCCAAGUCUACAACUCUUUAUCCUUUUAUCUUUUUUCUUUUUUUCUGAUCUUUUUUGGUUUUUUAUUGGAUUUUUUCUUUAUUUAUAUUUCACAUGUUUUCCCCUUUCCAGGUCUCCCCUUCAGAAACCCCCUAUCUAAUCCCUGCUUCCUCUGCCUCUGUGAGGGUGCUCCUCCAUGCAUCCACUCCCACCUUCCUGCCCUGGCACUCCUUUACACUGAGGCAUUGAAAACUCUCAGGACCAAGGGCCUCUCCUCCCACUGAUGUACAACAAGGCCAUCCUCUGCCACAUAUGUGGCCAGAGCCUCCAUGUGUAUUCUUUGGUGAUCCAGUCCCUAGGAACUCCGACGGGCGGGGGAGUCUGUCCUGUUGACACUGUUGCUCCCUCCAUGGGGCUGCAAACCCCCUCAGGUCCUUCAUUCCCUUCUCCAACUCCUUCAUCGGGGACUUGCACACUUAGUCCAAUGGUUGGCUACAAGUAUCUGCCUUGGUAUUUGUCAGGCUCUGGCAGAGCCUCUCAGGAGACAGCCUUAUCGGGCUUAUCAGCAAGCACUUCCCAGCAUCCAAAAUAGCAUCCAGGUUUAGUGGCUGUAAAUGGGAUGGAUCCCCAGGUAUGGUCUCUUUGUCCUUUUCCAUGUAGUAGCAAUGAAAGCUAUCCUCCUGAAAACAAAGAGUCAUCUGACUCAUCCAUCGGGUGUGGGAACCCAAAUGGAAGCCACAAGAAAGAAGCAGACGUGACAGUAUCUCCCUGCUACAUUAAGAAUGUUCUUAACUUAACAAAGGAUCAUAGUUUCUACUGUCUGUGAUGUUUUGUUUAUUGGAGGUUUUUUUUUUUCUUGUAGAGUUCUAUAUGGAAUAAAGAAUUGCUGCUUCUACCGUU
rnacentral:lncRNA from 1 species